AAGAUGGCUUUGGCUAUCACUCUGGGAUGGACCUGCGGUGCAUUAGCUAGUUGGUAAGGUAACGGCUUACCAAGGCGAUGAUGCAUAGCCGAGUUGAGAGACUGAUCGGCCACAAUGGAACUGAGACACGGUCCAUACUCCUACGGGAGGCAGCAGUAGGGAAUCUUCCACAAUGGGCGCAAGCCUGAUGGAGCAACACCGCGUGAGUGAAGAAGGGUUUCGGCUCGUAAAGCUCUGUUGUUGGAGAAGAACGUGCGUGAGAGUAACUGUUCACGCAGUGACGGUAUCCAACCAGAAAGUCACGGCUAACUACGUGCCAGCAGCCGCGGUAAUACGUAGGUGGCAAGCGUUAUCCGGAUUUAUUGGGCGUAAAGCGAGCGCAGGCGGUUGCUUAGGUCUGAUGUGAAAGCCUUCGGCUUAACCGAAGAAGUGCAUCGGAAACCGGGCGACUUGAGUGCAGAAGAGGACAGUGGAACUCCAUGUGUAGCGGUGGAAUGCGUAGAUAUAUGGAAGAACACCAGUGGCGAAGGCGGCUGUCUGGUCUGCAACUGACGCUGAGGCUCGAAAGCAUGGGUAGCGAACAGGAUUAGAUACCCUGGUAGUCCAUGCCGUAAACGAUGAGUGCUAGGUGUUGGAGGGUUUCCGCCCUUCAGUGCC
rnacentral:rRNA from 1 species